GGCAGUGUGGUAACAAUAUUUCGCUGAUCGGAACCCGUAGAAGGUUAACAUAAGCUCUCCAUCCCCUACUCCAACUCAAUACGCCCCCGUCGUACAGAAGAGUAACAUGUCUCCAAGCAAGGGUCAAUUAUCCAAGCUUGGGUAUACGGGGAAACCCAACCCCUUGGAUGGAUGGGUUGCAUGGUUAACUAAAUAUCC
rnacentral:ribozyme from 1 species